GAUGAACGCUGGCGGCGUGCCUAAUACAUGCAAGUCGAGCGACGCGUGGACGGGUGAGUAACACGUGGAUAACCUCCUCUAAGACUGGGAUAACUUCGGGCAACCGGAGCUUAUCCCGAUACUUAUAGAUUGAUCCGCGCUGCAUUAGCUAGUUGGUAAGGUAACGGCGUACCAAGGCAACGAUGCAUAGCCGGCCUGAGAGGGUGACCGGCCACACUGGAACUGAGACACGGUCCAGACUCCUACGGGAGGCAGCAGUAGGGAAUCGUCCGCAAUGGGGGAAAGCCUGACGGAGCAACGCCGCGUGAGUGAUGAAGGUCUUCGGAUCGUAAAACUCUGUUAGUAGGGAAGCGGUACCUAAUCAGAAAGCCACGGCUAACUACGUGCCAGCAGCCGCGGUAAUAC
rnacentral:rRNA from 1 species